GUCAUCAAUGUGGAGUCCUGGUGGUUCUUCAGCUCCAGCAGUGCUGGGACCACCUAUGGCUGCAAAGUGUCUCUUGAGGGAGCUCAGGGAAGUCUAGACAGUCAGCAAUAAGUGCCAAUUGUAUAUAUAUGUAUAAUAUUUAUAUUACAUAUAUAUGUGUCAAGUGUACAAUCACAGGCUGGUUUAUAAGGAUGUUGUAAGCAUAGCUUGGAGAAUCUGUCCCUCCAAGCAACCAGCUGCAGCUCAAGAACCUGAUGAGUUUCUUCUGCCUGGGGCAAAGUUGUUGAUGAUGAUAAAUGUUCCAGUGUCCUGCACGUUGCAGAGUCUGCUCCRUGGCAGGAAACAUAGAAGAGCAGGAGCAAAAAACUACAAACUGGAAGGAUCAGCA